rnacentral:rRNA from 1 species
GACGAACGCUGGCGGCGUGCUUAACACAUGCAAGUCGAACGCGCCUGUCCUCUGGGUUUCUGGGGGGUGGGUGAGUGGCGAACGGGUGAGUAACACGUGAGUAACCUGCCCCCUUCUUCGGGAUAACGGUCUGAAAGGGCUGCUAAUACCGGGUAUUCACUGGUCUCCGCAUGGGGUCUGGUGGAAAGGUUUUUUUCUGGUGGGGGAUGGGCUCGCGGCCUAUCAGCUUGUUGGUGGGGUGAUGGCCCACCAAGGCUUUGACGGGUAGCCGGCCUGAGAGGGUGACCGGUCACAUUGGGACGGAGAUACGGCCCAGACUCCGACGGGAGGCAGCAGUGGGGAAUAUUGCACAAUGGGCGCAAGCCUGAUGCAGCGACGCCGCGUGAGGGAUGGAGGCCUUCGGGUUGUGAACCUCUUUCGCCCGUGGUCAAGCCGCGACGUGGGUCGUGGUGAGGGUAGUGGGUAAAGAAGCGCCGGCUAACUACGUG